rnacentral:tRNA from 1 species
GGCUCGGUAGCUUAGUUGGUAAAGCGCACGUCUAGCAUACAAGAGUCCUAGAUUCGAAUCCCAGCCGAGCAC